rnacentral:rRNA from 1 species
AUUGAACGCUGGCGGCAUGCCUUACACAUGCAAGUCGAACGGCAGCACGGGAGCAAUCCUGGUGGCGAGUGGCGAACGGGUGAGUAAUAUAUCGGAACGUGCCCAGUCGUGGGGGAUAACGUAGCGAAAGCUACGCUAAUACCGCAUACUAUCUAUGGAUGAAAGCGGGGGAUCGCAAGACCUCGCGCGAUUGGAGCGGCCGAUAUCAGAUUAGGUAGUUGGUGAGGUAAAGGCUCACCAAGCCGACGAUCUGUAGCUGGUCUGAGAGGACGACCAGCCACACUGGGACUGAGACACGGCCCAGACUCCUACGGGAGGCAGCAGUGGGGGAAUUUUUGGGACAAUGGGCGCAAGCCUGAUCCAGCAAUGCCGCGUGCAGGAUGAAGGCC